UUUUCCUCGGAGUUCAGUAUAUCAAUUAUUAACAAUUGCCCUCGCUUAUUAUUGUAUAAGACACGCUGCAUAGGAGCGCAUAAUACAUCACAACUUUGUGAAUCAUCGAACAGAACGCGGUAGUCGGUGUGUGCGGCAUCAAAUAAUGUUACCACCUUCCGAUUAAUUGCCACAUCUUUAGAUUCUCUCUCCCUCUCGAUAAGACUCGAUGACAAGAACCAACAUCAGCUUUAUUUAAAGAGAGAUGGGUAUUACACUGACAGACAACACAUAUUUCAAGGACCAAAGAAGAGAAUGAGGAGGAGGAGGAGAAGGACCAAAGAAUGCGUGAAAUGACUACAAUAAAAAUUGGAAAAGACAGGUCAGUUUUACAAAAAACUCUUUUAAAACCGCAACUGCGA